UACGGGGGGGGCAAGCGUUGUUCGGAAUUACUGGGCGUAAAGGGCUCGUAGGUGGCCAACUAAGUCAGACGUGAAAUCCCUCGGCUUAACCGGGGAACUGCGUCUGAUACUGGAUGGCUUGAGUUCGGGAGAGGGAUGCGGAAUUCCAGGUGUAGCGGUGAAAUGCGUAGAUAUCAGGAGGAACACCAAUGGCGAAGGCAGCUCACUGGGACGGUACUGACGCUGAGACGCGAAAGCGUGGGGAGCAAACAGG
rnacentral:rRNA from 1 species